rnacentral:rRNA from 1 species
CAAUAGCGUAUAUUUAAGUUGUUGCAGUUAAAAAGCUCGUAGUUGGAUUUCGGUUAAGAGCGACCGGUCCGCCGUUUGGUGUGCACUGGUUGGUUUUAACUUCCUGUAGAGGACGUGCUCUGGGUUUAACGACCUGGACUCGGAGUCUACGUGGUUACUUUGAAAAAAUUAGAGUGUUCAAAGCGGGCUUACGCUUGAAUAUUUCAGCAUGGAAUAACACUAUAGGACUCCUGUCCUAUUUCGUUGGUCUCGGGACGGGAGUAAUGAUUAAGAGGAACAGUUGGGGGCAUUCGUAUUUCAUUGUCAGAGGUAAAAUUCUUGGAUUUAUGAAAGACGAACUUCUGCGAAAGCAUUUGCCAAGGAUGUUUUCAUUAA